rnacentral:lncRNA from 1 species
GCAAUUGGAAACCAUUUUUCUGAGAUUUGUUUCCAUAUAAAAAAAAUGACCAGGUCGUUCAAAUGGCUUGAACAAGUUUACAAAGUAAAUUACUUGAAUGACUAUAUAUAUAUAUAUAUAUAUAUACAACACACACAUGUAUAAGCCAUGCAUUCCGAAUGACUACACGUCCAACAAAACGAUCAGGUGAUAGAUGCACAUUACUACUUUUAAAGAUACUAACAUUUACAGAACAUUCUUCCACUUCUACUGGUACUGUUUUUCCUGUUAAUGAAGAUCUACUUUUAAGACUCCACAUAAAACUGCAUACUAUGAAGACAACAAUUGCAAAAGUAUUUACCUACAGUCAACUAAUUUUCAGGAUACUGCAGGUUUUCUAGGCUGGUGAAAAUACAGAUUUAUAAACUGAACUGACCUACUUAACAGAGUAUAUAGGUUCACACUCAAAUUCAAUACCAAACAACAUUACCACUUGCAUUGAAAACGUACAUAAACAGUUGAAAAAUGGUCCACAGGACCUCCCAAGUUUGAUAAAAUCACUGUGAGAUCUGAUAGGCUAAAAUUCUGAGGUAUCUAAACAUGGCUACGAUCAGACAAGCAUUUGCUAUGUAUCGAACUUGGAAGGUAUUAGAACAGUUCUGCUGUACAUUAUUUUUUUUUGGGUCCUAGUAUUGUCAUCACAAGACCAAACAUUACUAAACAUGAACCACUAACACACGGGCCAUUUUUGCUUAAGCACGUGGGAACUUUCUGUACUAUCAUAUAUAGAAUCAUUAUAUAUCAAAUUACAUAAACCAGGUGGGUUAUGGUUUUUCAACUGUUAAAUAGAAAAUAACAGUAGAAAAUGAGGUGAAUAUAGUAAAGUAUCUUACUCAUUCCCAUCAUUUAUCUGAAUGGGAUGGAAACUGCCUGAUGCAGGCACUCCAUGAACUAAUUCGCACAUAUGUUCUUCCAUUCAAAAAUAAUUUAUAUAGGACAGGGUGUGAGUUGACUCCUGUGUCCUUGAUUAGGUUGGACUAUCCUAGUAUAACAAUCAAUUAAAAGACCAAUAUGUUCAAUUAAACAUAAAACGAGACAAAACGACAUGGUCAGUGAUUUUUGAGACCAAAUAUCGGACUUAUGAACUCAAACGCACUUUUUAUUUUCCUUUAAAAGCAUGCAUAACUUGACCAACGUAUUCCAUAAGGUCUCUCCACCCCUUUUAUUUUUACACUAUUACUCUAAUGGAAAGAAAUGAAAGUAAAAAACUUUAUUUAUUGUGAAGCAAGCACCAAUGACAAAUUCAAGUUUGAGUAAAAAUUACCUGUCAAAUUUAAUCGGAAGUUAUGGAUUGGACUAAAGGAGAAAGAAUGAAAAGUUCGGAAAAAAGUUCCCAAGUGACAAAUUUUAAGUUUGUGUCAUGAUUUGAGCUAGCUAGGGUUGUAGAUGGAAGAUACCUUAAUUUUAGCAUCUUGUUAAUGGAUGCAAUGCUCGAGUUCAAAUUUUGUCAUUUUGUAUCAAAUGUUGAAGAAACUAAAGCAAGUGGAAUGAAUAUACUUAGCUUGGUCCAGAGAUUCAAGGAAAAUACCUAAAUCAGAUGGCGAAAAUGGGGAACCAUGAUAAUUUCAUAAUGUUCCUACAUCUGCAAACGAUUUCACGGUAAGAGGUGCAAUCAAUGAAAACAAAUUUCAGAAAAAUAUUACUGAAUGAAUCAUUUUUUGCGAUGGCAACACUAAACCAAAACCAAAAUUCAUUCAAAGAAUCAUAUGCCUAAAUAAAAAAAAUGGGCACGUCAUUCAAAUGGCUUGAACAAGUUUACUAAGAAAAACGUACUUGAAUGACUAUACAUGCAUAUAAGCAAUGCAAUCCGAAUGACUAACAUGUCCAACAAAAUGAAAAAGAUGAUAGAUGCACAUUAGUAUUAUUUUUAAAGACACCAACAUUUACAGAUAACAGGCUUUUCACAUUUACUGAUACUGUAAUUCCCCUUUUGAAUAACAUGAAGAUGUUGUUCUGGAUGCAAUAUUUUGGCCCCCGAUGGUAUUUCAUGUUAAUGAAGAUCUACAUUUAAAACUUCCAAUUAACUGAAUACAUGCAUACAAGCAAUUGGAAACCAUAUGCCUGCAGUAAUAACUAAUUUUCAGGAGACUAUCAUCACACACACAGAGCCACAUACAGUUAUUGUGUGUCAAACGUGGGAGGUAUAAAGCAGUUCCACAGUACAUUAUUUUUGGGUUCUAGUGUUGUUUUACAUGACCACCAACACAGGCAUUUACUUAAGCUCAUGGGAACUCUCUAUACUAUCAUUUAUAGCAUCAAUAUUACAUGUCAAAUUAUAUAAAAUAGGUGGGUAAUUAUUCAGAGGAAGUGGAAAGUACAUGGGAAAGGAAGAAACAUGCCCUGAUAGGGUUAUGGUGUUUCAACUGUUGAAUGGAAAUAAUAGAAAAUGAGGUGAAUGUAGGAAAUAUCUCACUCGUUCCCAUAAUUUAUCGAAUGGGAUGGAAGUUGCCUGGUGCAGGCACUCCAUGAACUAUGUGACAGCUGGAUAUUCUGCAACCUAUGGAAACAAGAUGAGGUUGACCGAUUGAUGGAACUGCUGGUACCUGUUGGACGGGAUUUCCCGUGGGUAAGUUGCUAAUUGAACAUCAAAUGAGCGUUGUUAAAUAAUAAAGAUUAUAAAUGAAACAACUUGCCAAGUGACAACCUCACCACAAUUAUGCAUUUGAUUAAACUGCUUACCAUAAUCUGGUGAUGUAAUUUCCUUCUGGUUACAUAAGCUCUUUUAUAUGGGCAAAGUACCAAUAUCAACAGCUCCACAACAUGGGUCCGACCAUCUGGGUAUGGGUGCCAAAUACCGUCACAACUACUAGCAACACUCCUCAAGAACACAACCCAAUAAAGGAACAAAGGAUCAGUUUAGUAGUUCAGUAAUUAAAUUUGUUUGUUGAGUAUUAGUGUCUGAGAAGCAACUUUGUUUAUCAACUUGACCUUCAGAAAGUGAUAAAAAACGAUAUUUGAUAGACGUUAGUCACAUUACACCCGAUAAAUAUCUUUGGGUCCACAUAACUUAAAUCCUUGCUACAUCUUCUUGGGAAAAUAAAAGAAGCAAGAAGGGAAUCACUUUUAAGCCAAUUCAGAGGUUGCAAACACAAGCAGAGUAACCUCAAAGAAAUCACAAUACUCAUCAGAACUUCCAAAGACUACCUCGAACAGAUAUUUGAAAGGGCACAUUAUCCAUAUAGAGCAUGCAAUAUGCAUUAAGAAUCACUCUGAAAGUUCUGCCUCAGUAUAAAUUUCAUAGAAAAAAGGGCAUUUCAGAAAAACGUCAAAGUAAGGGCACGUAAGGAAUUAACCAUGUUUAUCUCAUGUGAGUAAAAGCAUGUGUCUGGCCUAUAAACUUUCGCCAUUUUAUUUUACACUAGUCAAAUGAUGGAAUAAAAAAUGGGGAGUGAGACUCACACAUAUCCAGAGGACUUAAAGCAACACCGCAAUCUUACUAAAUCAAGUUCCUAUACUCCAUAAAAGGCUCAUUAGCAGAUUGAUCAUACUUGUUAAAUAUAGAACCCUUUAAAAUGUUCAAAAUCCCAGAGAUAAUUGUAAUAUUCAUUUGUCUUAAUAUCCAAAUAAGAAUAUGGGAUUGAAUAAAUCAUCUAUAUGAGAAUAAAUGCGCAAUUUUCCAUGGUAUCCAGUAGAAAUAAUAAUGAAAUGUAUACGAGCUGUAUUGCCUCGGUUAACAACUUGAUUUUAAAGCUAAAACUUGAUGACUUCUUAGUCCUCGCAUCUAGCACAUUGACACGUGCAUCAAUUCUAGUAUGCUAAAAAACAACUUUUUAAAUGACUAAUCAUUUUAAUCCCUUAGUUAACAUUAGAAUUUAGAAACAAUGUCUCUGUCUGCGAAGAUCCUUGCACCUAAUUCUGACCCAAGACCAUCCAUUUGACCUCAAAGAAAAGUAAACGACAGGCUCUAUUCUAUUCAAUCACUCUCGGUUCAGCAGUUCUUCUCAUAUCAAAAAAGCAUACUAGUUCACACACCUAAUUCUGAAAGGCUCACUUCCUCUGCUUUGAUUUUCCAUGAUAAUAACAGACUAAAGUGAGGAGUUACCUACCUAUCAACCAAAAAAGAGUGACUUAGCUGACAUGGGACUAAUCAUUUUAAUCCCUUAGUUAACAUUAGAAUUUAGAAACAAUGUCUCUGUCUGCGAAGAUCCUUGCACCUAAUUCUGACCCAAGACCAUCCAUUUGACCUCAAAGAAAAGUAAACGACAGGCUCUAUUCUAUUCAAUCACUCUCGGUUCAGCAGUUCUUCUCAUAUCAAAAAAGCAUACUAGUUCACACACCUAAUUCUGAAAGGCUCACUUCCUCUGCUUUGAUUUUCCAUGACAAUAACAGACUAAAGUGAGGAGUUACCUACCUAUCAACCAAAAAAGAGUGACUUAGCUGACAUGGGAUGAAUGCAUUUCUGUAUCGGAGACAAGGAAAUCAUUGCAGGAAGAGGGUACUUCAUUAGAUGAUACCGAUAUUCAAGCAAAGGGAAAAGAAGUAUGCUUUGAUUUUCCACGGCAAUAACAGGCUAAAGUGAGAAUUUAUCUAGCUAUCAGCCAAAAAAAGUAAGAAAUACCUAGCAUGGAAUGAAUACCUUGGUCUAUCGAAGACAAAUGAAUAUUUUGAGGAAUAGGGUGCUUCAUUAGAUGAUAUCGAUGCUAAAGAAAAUUGUUGAACAAGAUAAAUUUGUUUCUUCAGUUUUAGCAUUAUUUAGUAGGCCCUGAAAAAUUCAGCAUUUUCUUCUUCUAAUUUUUGCCACACUAAAUUAACAAAGUCUAUGAUAACUAAAAGACUGCUGCAAAAUUACUAUGCAAGAAAUAAUAUGGCUAGUUCAAAAGUAAAACUACAUCACGAAAUUCAUGAGUAACAUCUCUAGUUAAUACUAGCAUUUAAUUUAUUAAAAAACCUUACUUAAAAAACCGGAAUAGAUCAAAAAACCAUGCAACAACAUAAAUGGAUAUGAGCAACCUAAAUACCAAUCAAAACCAUAGAACAUGAUGUGAACUAAAAAUGAUGCUAACCCAAGGUUGAAAAUCCAGAUCUGUUCUUGCACAGUUCACGACCACUUCAUCUCUAUGGAAACUCGUAGAGCAUGUAACUACUCACAUUGUGCAGAUGUAGAUUACCUCCCCAUUAACUCGUAAAUAAAGCAACAAGGUUGCUCUUGCUUUAGUAAUGAAAAUGAAGAACAUGCCAAACCAAAAGAUAACUAUUUUAUUAUGCAUAAAAUAAUGAGCAUGCCAGAUGAUGUAACGAAAUAAUCAAUAAGUCAAAAUAUGAACUACGAUUUUUGCAUAAAUUGCCAUCCCUCCACCCUGACCAAAAAAAGGAUAUUGAUAGGAAAAAAAAAGAAUACAAUAAAAAUGAUUACCUCCAUACUGCGUUUGGUUGAAAACUUUUAAUGCGUUGGACAAAGUCUCCCAUAAACAAAGUAAUAUUUAAUAUGCAAAAGCUGCCAUGUCAUCAAAAUAUGGCGACACACAUGAUUCUAGGUAGAAGACUAAUUAUUAAAAAUUAAAAGAAACCGAAGAUUGCACAUAGAAAGAGAAGUUGUUCCACUUAAAGAUAGAUAAUUCGCACAACAAAAGGAAAUAAUUCUAACUUCAGUCUUCAGAGCUACUACUAAUAGAUACCAUUAACGCUUGUGUAUUUCAAUAGGCUAUAGGUGUCAAUAGUUAAGGCCAAAAUAAGAUCAGAAUCCUCUUAGUUAGCUGCCGGGGUAUUCUUCCUUGCUGUAAUUAGGAAGGUAUGACAGCCUCAAAUCCUGCAUUAAUUGGUCUUUCAUUGGAUUCUCAAUUAAAAAAAAAAAACAGUUGAGGAGCCUAUAUUGCAAUCCCGAGCUUGAGAAUGAACUUGUGAACAAUAAUCAUGGUUUGACAUGUGUCUCAAAAUGGUACACGUGUUAAAU